AUGGUAGUUGAAAGGCGUAUGACCGAGUUGAGGAACCAGCUCAAUUCCAGCAACCAACAGCUCCAGGACAUCCAAAAAGAGGCCCAAAAGACUACUGCCAAACUUGUGCAAGAACAAGAGGCGUGCCAGGCCGCCCGGGAUGCAUCCGACCUACUUCAGCAGGAGCUCAAGAAGAGCCAGAUUGAGUGUGACCAGCUGAAGGCCGAGAAGACCAGGCUGGGUGACCAAAUUAAACUGCUCGAGUAUAGUCUGAAGGAAUCCAACCUAGUCCGUCGCAAUGCUCGAGACGAAGUAGAGCAAGCCAAGCAGAUUGUCGCUGGUCAACCAUAUCUUCUCCAAUGUCGAUUUGGAAGCAAUAGCUAUACCGCACUAACUCAAAUUUGGCACCACGCAGAGAUCUUCGCCGACCUGCCCCAGAGUGCUGCGAGCGCCCACAAGUACUAUCAAGAGCUCAAUGAUCCUGAGCAGGACGUAUUCCGGGCUUUCUGGGCGCAGUUCCAAGAAACCAGCCGGCUUGACCUUCUCCCUGACAGACUGAAGCAAAUCGGAGAGCUGCUCAAUCUGAUCAAGCCGACAAUGGAAGCGACAUUUAUGACAUUGUGGCCCGGGGAUGACGUUCCGACCAACUUCUUCGAGUUAGCAAUCCGACUCCAGCGCGCCUCGCCCCAGAUAAUGAAGUGGAAGUCUUCAAAGACCGAGAAGAAGCUCGCUAAGCAUGGGCAACGCUAA
rnacentral:rRNA from 1 species